UACCCAUGGUGAGGGCAUGCAUUAAGUCAAUCCAUGAAUCUCUCCCAAGACUGAUAAAAAGUCUCAGUGUCUUUUUGAGCAAAAUUCAUAAUAUGCCUUUUUAAUGCA